CCUUCCUCCCUCUUUCCACUUUCUCUCUCUAUAUUCUCUCUCUAAAAUAUCUCUCUCUCUCUACAAGUUUCUCUAUCUAAAGGUGUCUCUCUUCUAGGAUUUUUUUUAGAUUUUAGAAAGAUCCUCUAAUAGUCUUGAUAGAUCUUAGUGAAUUGAUCUUAAUCAUUGAUCAUCAGAUAGGUUACUAGUCUCCACCUUGAUCA
rnacentral:lncRNA from 1 species